GUCUACGGCCAUGCCACCCUGAACAAGCCCAAUCCCGUCUGAUCUCAGAAGCUAAGCAGGGUCGGGCCUGGUUAUUACUUGGAUGGGAGACCAUCUAGGAAGACCAGGUGCUGUAGGUG
rnacentral:rRNA from 1 species